AGAGUUUGAUCCUGGCUCAGGACGAACGCUGGCGGCGUGCUUAACACAUGCAAGUCGAACGGAAAGGCCCUUUCGGGGGUACUCGAGUGGCGAACGGGUGAGUAACACGUGGGUGAUCUGCCCUGCACUUUGGGAUAAGCCUGGGAAACUGGGUCUAAUACCGGAUAGGACUACGCGAUGCAUGUCGUGUGGUGGAAAGCUUUUGCGGUGUGGGAUGGGCCCGCGGCCUAUCAGCUUGUUGGUGGGGUGAUGGCCUACCAAGGCGACGACGGGUAGCCGGCCUGAGAGGGUGACCGGCCACACUGGGACUGAGAUACGGCCCAGACUCCUACGGGAGGCAGCAGUGGGGAAUAUUGCACAAUGGGCGCAAGCCUGAUGCAGCGACGCCGCGUGAGGGGUGACGGCCUUCGGGUUGUAAACCUCUUUCAGCUCCGACGAAGCGCAAGUGACGGUAGGGGUAGAAGAAGGACCGGCCAACUACGUGCCAGCAGCCGCGGUAAUACGUAGGGUCCGAGCGUUGUCCGGAAUUACUGGGCGUAAAGAGCUCGUAGGUGGUUUGUCGCGUUGUUCGUGAAAACUCACAGCUCAACUGUGGGCGUGCGGGCGAUACGGGCAGACUUGAGUACUGCAGGGGAGACUGGAAUUCCUGGUGUAGCGGUGGAAUGCGCAGAUAUCAGGAGGAACACCGGUGGCGAAGGCGGGUCUCUGGGCAGUAACUGACGCUGAGGAGCGAAAGCGUGGGGAGCGAACAGGAUUAGAUACCCUGGUAGUCC
rnacentral:rRNA from 1 species